rnacentral:rRNA from 1 species
GCCUACGGGGGGCAGCAGUGGGGAAUAUUGGACAAUGGGCGCAAGCCUGAUCCAGCCAUGCCGCGUGAGUGAUGAAGGCCCUAGGGUUGUAAAGCUCUUUUGUGCGGGAAGAUAAUGACGGUACCGCAAGAAUAAGCCCCGGCUAACUUCGUGCCAGCAGCCGCGGUAAUACGAAGGGGGCUAGCGUUGCUCGGAAUCACUGGGCGUAAAGGGUGCGUAGGCGGGUCUUUAAGUCAGGGGUGAAAUCCUGGAGCUCAACUCCAGAACUGCCUUUGAUACUGAAGAUCUUGAGUCCGGGAGAGGUGAGUGGAACUGCGAGUGUAGAGGUGAAAUUCGUAGAUAUUCGCAAGAACACCAGUGGCGAAGGCGGCUCACUGGCCCGGUACUGACGCUGAGGCACGAAAGCGUGGGGAGCAAACAGGAUUAGAUACCCCGGUAGA